rnacentral:rRNA from 1 species
AACGUAGGAGACAAACGUUAUCCGGAGUUACUGGGCGUAAAGGGCGUGUAGGCGGUUCGUUAAGUCUGGCGUGAAAGCUCUCGGCUAAACCGGGAGAGGUCGUUGGAUACUGGCGAACUAGAGGACGGUAGAGGCGUGUGGAAUUCCGGGUGUAGUGGUGAAAUGCGUAGAGAUCCGGAGGAACACCAGUGGCGAAGGCGACACGCUGGGCCGUACCUGACGCUAAAGCGCGACAGCAUGGGGAGCGAACGGG